AAGAGAAAUCAUGUGUGUGGCACUUUUGAAGGAGAACAGGAAGGGAAAGGAAAAAUGGCCCUGGACUCAUUUACAAAGAGAUGUUUAUGAUGAAAAUGGCAUGGAAGAGGUCCAAGGAGGCACACUGGCUUUGGAAUAUUUCAGCAGGUGUUUUCUACGCUUAAGUAGUACAGUAAUAGUGGACUAGAAAGACACUUAAUACAUGUUAGGGACAGAGUUUCAGCUGGCACGAAGAGGUGUAUUUCCACUGAAGUCAAGAAUCUGGCCUUCUACUAUCUAAGCACUCAAAAUCUUCAAGACUUGGCUGCAGACCUUGAGAACAAGCUUUGUUGCAAGACUUUCAGCAUUGAAUGCUUGAACUUGGAACACAAAAAUAUCCUUUCAUACAGUAUUUUGGCACUUCACCUUCUGGUUGGGGCCAGAAUCAAGAUGUACAUGA